rnacentral:lncRNA from 1 species
AGCGCGGAGAACUCAGCGCGGAGCCGAUAGCAGCGCACACCGUGCCCGGGAUGGAGCGCUACAAAGGUGAGGGCGCAGGGCGCACCUACUUGCUCCGGGUAUCCCGGACUCAGGUGUCCAGAACGGACAGUCUACGCCCAAGGGACCGCAGCCCUAGAGAGGGCGACCGAGGAGUCACGAACAGGGCGGUGGGCUUCUGGGCGUAGAAUGCCGUCCGUGCUAUUUGAUACUCCUGGGCCCCUGGGGCAGAGGUCUCUGCUUGGAGGUCAAAGUGAGGCUUCUCACCUGUUGGAGAACCGAGGGUGUGUCCUGAGCCAUCCCGUCACCCCCAGUUUCAGUUUGCCUUGGGGAAAAGAUGUCUACAGUCGAGGGGGGCCCUAGUAAGGUCUCAACAGUAAGGGGCUGCUGGGGGCAAAGGGGCGAGUUGUAGGGCUCUUUCUAUGGAUGCUGCCUUGUUGAGGGGCUUCUUGCAGAUUCCCGGAAAAGUCUUGUCCGGUAGCAGAAAAAACUCCUAAUGUGGUGGGGUGGCGUGCUAUUCUGUUCUUGACAAGGUCCGUCUCUCUACCACUUUGUAACCUGCCUCGCCAUGCCCUUUGCGGAUCCUGCACCCCAAAGCUGCGUGGGGGGGGUGUGAGUUAGGAGCCCAGUGGACUGCCCAGCAGGUGGAGCGCCCGUAGGCGUCCUGGCAGCUGAGCGAGCUUGGAUUUGGCUCUGGCCAGGGAUCUUGGCCAAACCAUGGUGGGAGGGCCGGUCCGGAUAUGCCCGAAGGGUUUUGGAGCCCCAGGGCUGGAAUCCAGAAACCUCAGAUAGUAGGUCCUUUGAAAAGGGGGUUCAAGGUGCUGCCCCUGAGGCAGAUGCGUCGGUGCGCCCCUACAUGCCUCCCUCUGGGAAAAGGGUCUUGUACUCGCUCUUUUUAGGGGUUGUCUAAGUUAAGCCUGCAAGGGGAAAUUCUGCCUCUGCACUUAUUUUCCCAUGGGAGGGUAAUAAGGCAAACGCUCAGGUUGCCAAGGAAUCUCGAUCUCCCUCUAUGGUUUCUUAUUUAUGGAACUCACAUAAGGGAACUGUGCGGGCAGGCUUUAGUUUCCUAACGUAGUCUUUUUAGUGACUCACCUGUGAAUGCAGGGUCAGGGCUCUGGAGUCAGCGGGGUAGGGGAGGAGCGCCAGGAGAAAUCACUUAGCCUCUCUCCCCCGUCUAUCCGGGAGGUCUUGUCUUAGUUCUGAUGGAAUCUGGUCAGUUUGUGAGGGAAAGGCUGAAGUUGCCCUCAUGCAGUCUCGAAUAUUGGCGGCCACAGCCCCUCUCUUGGUAGAAGAGAGGCGGCUCUUGCUGCUCCCCACUUAGGGAGGGAACCUGGGGGCGAGGAGGGGGAGCCGAUUGGGGCCUUGGGCGUCUCCUCACUGGAAAUCCCGACUUCCAAGGUCGCUUCAGCUCCUUGGAUUGUGACAUUGAAGCAGAUGUUGGCCCCAAAUAGAAGAUCCAAAUUGCAAGCUUCUUUGCCCAAGCAGCAAACUGGUUCAAGUUAGAGACCAGGCAACAAGUGGGCAGCUGUGCAUCUAGGAUUUGUGAGCAGGUUUUUUUGGUGUAGUUUUUGAAUUAGUUCUUUACUGGGUAAAAUCUGCUUAGUUUAUCUUUCUCUCCUGGGAGCUGAAAAUCUCAUUCUCUACUGGGAUGAGUUAGGGACUUCCAGCUAACUGAAGGGAACUUGGUUUCAGGUCAGAGCGUUUGUGUUUUGGAAAUAGAUCUAUGUCUUAGAGAUCAAUGUCUUAGAGAUCAAUGAGUGUGCUGACUUGAGAAUUGCCUGGACUGUAAAAGAGAAUACAUGGGAUGUUCUUCAGCUCCACUCUGGGGAAACAGGACUUCAAAUCUCACUGAUGUCAUGCUGCUCAUAUCUGCUAAUUUUUCUGGGAAGAGUGUGGGGACCCCCCCCCCCCCCCCGGCGAGUUUCAGUCUCAGUUCUCAGGAAAGGCAGAUCAGUCAUGUCUUGGGAACUCGCAAUGAAUGCUAACUCUUGUCUGUGCAAAACGAAUGCUAAAUGAUAAACCAGGUUGCUCCUGCUUAUCAGAGCCUGGGGCCUUUACAUUUUUUGAAAGGUUUUGGGGUGUAUCUCAGGGUUAGAGAUCUUGCCUGGCAUGUGCAAGACCCCAGGUUUGGUCUUCAGUGCACCCCCCCCCCCAGUAUUUUAAAAGUAAAACUGAGUAGUUGCCAAAUAAGUAGGUAUGGUGGUUUAAAUGAUAAAGUUGAACAGAAAAACAAGAUUUAUCUGGGCUCUUGUAAAAUUGAUCAGAGAAAACUCUUAUGGCAUCUGACAUAGUUUUAAAUUUAAAUACUUUCAUAUUCCCAAUUUUAAGUUCUCUUCCCUACACAGGUAGACUUGCUCAUUCUUGUCUUCAGAGAACAAAAGUGUUGUCUUUGACUUGAAAAGCUUAGAAAGCUGCUAUGGUGGGACAAUAAACUUUCCAUGCCCGUGGCCUCUCUGUUACCCACUGCCCACCCUCCCCAUGGCAGGUCAUAGUUUUAGGUUCUGGGCUAACUGUCUUGAGGGAGCUGAAGGAUGGAUGAAAUACCUAAUAUUGAAAAGCAGCCAAACUUUUCUCCCAGUCCUCUCCAACCCCCUUUGCUACAGCACCAUGACUUUCUCAAUCAAACCAAAGGGGUGUGGGGAAUACAUGUGUGUCCCUUCUCAGAGGGAUGGAGCUUUUCUGAAAAAAAGUUAUAAAUGUUGGCAAAGUUGCUAUGCCUUGCAUGGGAAUCUCUUUGGCAUGGUAUAAGCAAGAAGACCCCUACAAGUAUCCAGGAGUCUGUGCCAAGUCCUACAGGGUGCCUUGAAAAGAUUCCCAUCCUUGAGUGUUUAUAUAUUUAUGACUCUCCUAAGAGCAUCCUGUAUCAUUGUGUGUGAGCCCAUUGGCUGACCUCAUCCCAUGCAGUCAAGGAUCCUGGUUCCUAUUGCUCUCCCAGCUGGUGAGUGGGUCCAGGGCCAAGUGACUGACCUACUAUCUGUGGAUUACACUUGGAGCAUCACGCCAAAGCUUCCUGAAGUUGCAUCACCCUUGGACCCUAACUGGCCCAGCUGAAAUAUACGGACUUCAUUUUAGAUGGGCGUAAUGGCUUGUGGGGGAAAUCCUUCUGUAGCCUUUGGGUUUCCAUUCUGACCACCGCUUUUUGGGGUGGCUUUAUGGUGCAGGGGGUCAAGGGGAGAACAGUGAGAUUUUGUCCAGAAAACAAUGUGGUCAGGGAAGGAAUCUUGUCGGGUAAUCUUAAGAGUUGUGGUCAGAGAAGGUCUAAAAAGAAAAGAUAAAUAAUCAAUAAUUAAGGGAAAUAAAGCCCAUGGAUAAUUUAAUCAUGUCCCUUUAGGAAUUCUUUCUCCGUGCCUAAUUGCUCAGCCCUUUACCUGUUGCUGUCUGACCCUGUAGCGGCCGACUUAACCUCAGCUGUAUGUGGAGCCAUAAAUGUGUGUGGCACAAGAAGACAGGCGAGCACCAGACAUUCUCAUUCAGACGUAGGUCAGGCACUGCAGCUUUCAAGGGCCUUCGGGUGACUCCAGCGUGACCCAAGAUUGAGGGAGCAUAUUUACUUUAAAAAAAAUGGAACGUCAAAAUAGAUAACUAGAGGGAGUAGGCUGAGGCUGGGAAGAUGGCUCCGUUGGUGCUCGCCGGGCAAGCACAAGAACCUGAGUUCAAGACCCUAGCACCUGUGUAAAAAGCCAGCUAUGACCGUGUGUGCUGGCUAGCCACUGUAGCCGAGUCAGCCAGGUCCAAAUCCCCACGAGACAAAUUUCUAAUUCCUAAAACUGUAAGGUAGAGAGCAAUUGGAGAGGAUUACAUGCCGUCGGCCCACAUGCGUGCACAUGCAAACAUGCAAAGGAAAGUCCACUUCCUCCUCGGAAGAAUCGCUUUUAGGGGUACCCAGUUCUGACGAUGCUCGAGUCCUGGAAGUGAUGUAGGAUUUGCAUAUGGGGCACACUGUCUUCCCAACUGCUUUACCUCAUCUCUAGACUACAGUGGGUGCAGUUGCUGUAUUGUCGUGUUUAGGGAACAAUGGCAAAGAAAUCAGUACACAUUUAAUGUCCUUGCAACUGCACACCAUCCAUAACAGAGCCUUUCCAUAUGUCACCCCUCAUAUUGUGGAUCUGCAGUUGGCCAACUCUGAGGCCACAGAACUUAUGGCUGUGGAAAGCCAACCAGAAUCCUCAACCUGAAAAACAAAAACAAAAACAAAAACAAAAAAACCCGCAAGCAAGACCGGAGUGAACUACUGUGCGUGCGCUCUCUCACUAUUCCAUUGCAUCUUGGGAUUAUCUGCAGAAAUCUGAUGGGAUUCACCUUUAGCUAUUGUAGGCUUUGAACAGAUGCGCGAGAACACUGUUUUAAAACAGUGUCGGAGUCUCCAUGCCUCGCAGCCCCAGAGCUCUGAGUUUGCGCGUUGGACUUGACCCUGGGCACCGCUGACUUUGAAGCUCCCUGUGUGGGAGCCUGGCAGCGAAAUGGUUGAAAGC